CAUGAGCAAUUGGAAUGUGCCAUGAGCAAUGCCCAGGAUUUAUACACACUCCACAAGAACAACAAAUCAAACAUCAUGAUACACAAGUACAUCCAUACAUAGAGUUCACUUUACAUAAAGAGGUCAAGUUACAUAACAUCAAGUCUUAGAGUUUUGCAGCGGAAAAGUCUAACAUCGUGCUCAUACGAUAAAACACAAAUAAGAAGGAUAACACUAUAUGCCGAUAGUGCUCUUCUCAUAGCCACCGGCCAUCUACUCCUCACGCGCACCUCCGUCCAUAGGGUAGAAGUACCCAAAGACGGCCUCCGGCUGCGGAUCACCUGCACCAACUUAACAAUAGCACCAUGAGUACAAAAGGUACUCGCAGGACUAGUACAUACUUGCCUGACCUCAAGGAGAAUGCAUUUGGUUAGGUAGCAAGGAAAAGUCAUGGUAUUUAAUUUUGCAUAAAAGCAUCUUCAUUUGAUCAAGUUAUAUAUAUUAAGCAAAAUACAUAGCCUCUAUGGUCUAUAAAAUUCAAGCAUCAAACAAUUGCAUGAAUAAAGUGAUCAUAAUUCAUGAGCUCAAUCUUUCAUGAACUUUUUCGGUAACUCUACGAUAAAGUCAAAGUACAAGAGCAUGCUCAAUGAUCAAGAGCGUGGCUAUUGCAAUAAAUCAAACACCCUGCAGGGGUGUACAACUUUUCCCACACAACAACAAGACCAACGACCAUACCCACAGCCAAGGAUAAGUGUUGAUUCAUGCCUCAACCGUUCACAUACCUAUACUCGGCUAUGAGCGAACAUUCGGGAGGGACAAGUGCACCGGAACCGCCAAUCACACUCUAUCACAACCCGCACCGAAUCCGCUCAAGGCAAGGUGUGACUUAUGCUACUUAGCUUACCAUCCUAUUAUUAAGUAUGUGGUUUGUAUGGGAAAGUGCUCAAGUAUUAAAGCGAUUACGUAUCGGUCCUUAAUCAACCCAAGCAAGUCUAACCAUUUGAGUUCCACUCCCAACAUGGCUCUACCAUACUUGCUCAGGUCCGAGUCAUCAUUAAAAGUUGCUCAUAUUUUGUUCAUCCUUGACGAAUCAUGUAGAACUAAACAUAUAUCCUAUAGCUCGCGAGUGGUGGUGACCUUGCCACCUCUCGUCUUCUACCGUAGCUAAGCAUGGCUAAACAUAUAAUUCAUGACACCUAACAAGCAUACUCAACUAGGAAAUAAUGUUCUAAGCAAGGUUGGUAAUGCAUCAAUUAGGCUCUGAGCAAUCAUUUAUACAUACAGUAACUCAUGCACAAACAAGAUAAAUAUACUUCAUUGAUCCAAAAUAAGAGGUAAAAGAUGCAUAGGUGCCUACCUUGAUUCUCAACGAGGGUGUCGUCUCCCACAGUCUCCGGCUCACCCUCCUCUUGUUCCGGCGUCACGGCCUCUACAUGAGUGCAAUGAUGCUUGAGAAAUAAAUAUGCGAGCGACGACGCGAUGUUGAAGGCCGGAUAAUCGUGCCAGCGAAGGCGUGUUGAAGCACAAGGGAUAGCAUUAUUAAUUCAGCACGAGCAAUAGCAACCAAAAGCAGUUCCGAGCACGAGAUGGAGGAAAAAGGAGGAAAAAUUCUGACCUCCACUUCCCGCAGCUAGAACUUAGAGCUGAAUCAUGCGACUAAAUCGAGAACAACGAAUUGAGGAAACAUCAUUCAGAUUAAAAAAGCAUAUGACGAGCACAAAGAACCAAACUCCCGGUGGAUAAGGAGCUUAGGGUGCUGAGCCACCGGAAUCCACGAGAACGGCAAACGAUGCCCACUACUUGGCCGGCAGCACCACGAGAUGGCCACUACAUCGUUGCACAAAGCCUCAGCCAUGGUCACCUUGUCCUCCGAGAUCGAGUUCACGCGCACCUAGCAAGCAACGGAGAGAGAGAGAGGGAGGAGAGGAUUUGCAGGGUGUUUUGCUGGACUGUGGCAGGAACAGAGGGAGUGGAGCAGCGCCGGCGCGCGGCGCGACUGCAGGCUGAGGCGGCGGCGGCGCGUCGGGGGAGGGGAGUCGGGGAAUUGCGGAAGGGAUGGGGAAGGCUGCGGAAGGAGCUCGAGUUAGUUUAUUGGGCC
rnacentral:lncRNA from 1 species